GAAAAAAAGAAUUUAAAAAAACGCCGAACAUACCACCUGCAGUUCGUUUCACUGCAACACAAAUUCAAAGCAGUUUUGAGCUAUCUAAAGCCAUUUAAAUUUUAGAUUUGUAUUAAAAGGCUGAAUGGGACAGUCGCCCCAGACCCCAAGCUGAUUAGAUAGACUCAAUCUUCUCUGCAAAAACAGACCCAGCAAAAAAAUCCUGACGAAAGCCCUGGCCUUAAUUUAUCUUGCAGACUUUUCGUAUCGACCAAACAUGCACGACUGCCAUUGUUAUGAACAUAGAUACAAACAUUGACGUUUUAUUAGAGAAUAGUCAAUAUUGCUGCCAGUCUGAAUUUCAACGAGGGGUCGUCUAAAAUCCAGGCUACAAACAACGGUGAUAUAUUCCGGAGCGAAAAAGUCAAUUUUUAUAGACAGUCGACUUGCAUUUUGUAAUGUUUGAAUAAAU